UCAGCAUUUAAUGCUGGUCUAUUUAAAGACUGCGUUUAUGCCACCUGGAUAUGCGUCACUGGUGACUCCGCCCUUUUGUGUGCAUACGAGUGUUUUCCCGUCAAAGCUGGAAGAACACGCUGUUGAGACAUUACGGUGGGUCCAGGCUGUCAUUAAUCCUCAGCUGCGAGGUUUCACUCAGGCCUGUUAGCUGUGGCAUAUACUGUGAGCUACGGUACAAUGUGUGGUUCUGUGAUCAUUAUCUGGCAGCCAGGCCCCGGGUCGGGAGGCUAGCUUUCUUGCCGUGUGGUGGUGGUCUUUGAGCACGGAGUGUGGUUUGCCGCUUGUAACUGCUUACACUUCACUGUGUGUGUUGUGUGUGUGUGUGUGUGGUUUUGCCUAUGAUAAUUACUCUUGCUAGCCUGCCCGGCUACGGUAAAGCCUUGGUUGCCUUAAAGUUUGUUUUGUGUGUUCGUUUGGAAAAUUGUGAUGCAGUGUGGCUUCUAGAGCAAUAUUUUAUAAUUGACACUCUUGAACAUUUUUAUCCAUUUUGUGUGAUUAAAUAAAAUAUAUUUUUGUACCGUCAUCCACGUCUCUCUGCCCUCCAUGGUAAUGAACCUGUGUGCCCUAUUUCUGGGUUAUCAUUGUCCCCUGUAAACAGGGGUGGCGUAGUCUGCUUCUAUUACAUAUUAAAAUUGAGUAUUAAGAGCUUUAAUUAUUCAGUUUUUCCCCAUCGCCUCGCCACAAACUGGCGUAGUCGGCAGGGCACCGUGUUCGGCAGAGACGUGGGUACAGGUGUUUAGUGUUAGUUUUGUUUUUUGUGUUUUUUUGUAUAUUGUUUCAGGAGAAGUAGCAGCAGGACAGCAGCGUGCGUCUCGUGGAUUGAUUCUUGGCUUCGCUGUGGGCCUACUUAUUGGCAGCCAGGCCCCGGGUCGGGAGGCUAGCUUUCUUGCCGUGUGGUGGUGGUCUUUGAGCACGGAGUGUGGUUUGCCGCUUGUAACUGCUUACACUUCACUGUGUGUGUUGUGUGUGUGUGUGUGGUUUUGCCUAUGAUAAUUACUCUUGCUAGCCUGCCCGGCUACGGUAAAGCCUUGGUUGCCUUAAAGUUUGUUUUGUGUGUUCGUUUGGAAAAUUGUGAUGCAGUGUGGCUUCUAGAGCAAUAUUUUAUAAUUGACACUCUUGAACAUUUUUAUCCAUUUUGUGUGAUUAAAUAAAAUAUAUUUUUGUACCGUCAUCCACGUCUCUCUGCCCUCCAUGGUAAUGAACCUGUGUGCCCUAUUUCUGGGUUAUCAUUGUCCCCUGUAAACAGGGGUGGCGUAGUCUGCUUCUAUUACAUAUUAAAAUUGAGUAUUAAGAGCUUUAAUUAUUCAGUUUUUCCCCAUCGCCUCG